rnacentral:rRNA from 1 species
AUGGCUCAGAUUGAACGCUGGCGGCAGGCCUAACACAUGCAAGUCGAGCGGUAGCACAGAGAGCUUGCUCUCGGGUGACGAGCGGCGGACGGGUGAGUAAUGUCUGGGAAACUGCCUGAUGGAGGGGGAUAACUACUGGAAACGGUAGCUAAUACCGCAUAACGUCGCAAGACCAAAGUGGGGGACCUUCGGGCCUCAUGCCAUCAGAUGUGCCCAGAUGGGAUUAGCUGGUAGGUGGGGUAACGGCUCACCUAGGCGACGAUCCCUAGCUGGUCUGAGAGGAUGACCAGCCACACUGGAACUGAGACACGGUCCAGACUCCUACGGGAGGCAGCAGUGGGGAAUAUUGCACAAUGGGCGCAAGCCUGAUGCAGCCAUGCCGCGUGUGUGAAGAAGGCCUUCGGGUUGUAAAGCACUUUCAGCGGGGAGGAAGGCGGUGAGGUUAAUAACCUCACCGAUUGACGUUACCCGCAGAAGAAGCACCGGCUAACUCCGUGCCAGCAGCCGCGGUAAUACGGAGGGUGCAAGCGUUAAUCGGAAUUACUGGGCGUAAAGCGCACGCAGGCGGUCUGUCAAGUCGGAUGUGAAAUCCCCGGGCUCAACCUGGGAACUGCAUUCGAAACUGGCAGGCUAGAGUCUUGUAGAGGGGGGUAGAAUUCCAGGUGUAGCGGUGAAAUGCGUAGAGAUCUGGAGGAAUACCGGUGGCGAAGGCGGCCCCCUGGACAAAGACUGACGCUCAGGUGCGAAAGCGUGGGGAGCAAACAGGAUUAGAUACCCUGGUAGUCCACGCUGUAAACGAUGUCGAUUUGGAGGUUGUGCCCUUGAGGCGUGGCUUCCGGAGCUAACGCGUUAAAUCGACCGCCUGGGGAGUACGGCCGCAAGGUUAAAACUCAAAUGAAUUGACGGGGGCCCGCACAAGCGGUGGAGCAUGUGGUUUAAUUCGAUGCAACGCGAAGAACCUUACCUGGUCUUGACAUCCACAGAACUUUCCAGAGAUGGAUUGGUGCCUUCGGGAACUGUGAGACAGGUGCUGCAUGGCUGUCGUCAGCUCGUGUUGUGAAAUGUUGGGUUAAGUCCCGCAACGAGCGCAACCCUUAUCCUUUGUUGCCAGCGGUCCGGCCGGGAACUCAAAGGAGACUGCCAGUGAUAAACUGGAGGAAGGUGGGGAUGACGUCAAGUCAUCAUGGCCCUUACGACCAGGGCUACACACGUGCUACAAUGGCAUAUACAAAGAGAAGCGACCUCGCGAGAGCAAGCGGACCUCAUAAAGUAUGUCGUAGUCCGGAUUGGAGUCUGCAACUCGACUCCAUGAAGUCGGAAUCGCUAGUAAUCGUAGAUCAGAAUGCUACGGUGAAUACGUUCCCGGGCCUUGUACACACCGCCCGUCACACCAUGGGAGUGGGUUGCAAAAGAAGUAGGUAG